UGGGGAAUAUUGGACAAUGGGCGCAAGCCUGAUCCAGCCAUGCCGCGUGAGUGAUGACGGCCUUAGGGUUGUAAAGCUCUUUUAACAGGGACGAUAAUGACGGUACCUGUAGAAUAAGCCCCGGCAAACUUCGUGCCAGCAGCCGCGGUAAUACGAAGGGGGCUAGCGUUGUUCGGAAUUACUGGGCGUAAAGCGCACGUAGGCGGAUUGUUAAGUCGGGGGUGAAAUCCUGAGGCUCAACCUCAGAACUGCCUUCGAUACUGGCGAUCUUGAGUUCGGAAGAGGUUGGUGGAACAGCUAGUGUAGAGGUGAAAUUCGUAGAUAUUAGCUAGAACACCAGUGGCGAAGGCGGCCAACUGGUCCGAUACUGACGCUGAGGUGCGAAAGCGUGGGGAGCAAACA
rnacentral:rRNA from 1 species